GAUGAACGCUGGCGGCGUGCCUAAUACAUGCAAGUCGAGCGAACAGACGAGGAGCUUGCUCCUUUGACGUUAGCGGCGGACGGGUGAGUAACACGUGGGUAACCUACCUAUAAGACUGGGAUAACUUCGUGAAACCGGAGCUAAUACCGGAUAAUAUUUCGAACCGCAUGGUUCGAUAGUGAAAGAUGGCUUUGCUAUCACUUAUAGAUGGACCUGCGCCGUAUUAGCUAGUUGGUAAGGUAACGGCUUACCAAGGCAACGAUACGUAGCCGACCUGAGAGGGUGAUCGGCCACACUGGAACUGAGACACGGUCCAGACUCCUACGGGAGGCAGCAGUAGGGAAUCUUCCGCAAUGGGCGAAAGCCUGACGGAGCAACGCCGCGUGAGUGAUGAAGGUCUUCGGAUCGUAAAACUCUGUUAUUAGGGAAGAACAAACGUGUAAGUAACUGUGCACGUCUUGACGGUACCUAAUCAGAAAGCCACGGCUAACUACGUG
rnacentral:rRNA from 1 species